rnacentral:rRNA from 1 species
CCUACGGGAGACAGCAGUGGGGAAUUUUGCGCAAUGCUCGUAAGAGUGACGCAGCGACGCCGCGUGAAUGACGAAGGCCUUCGGGUCGUAAAGUUCUUUCGACAGGGAAGAAAAUGCCUAUAAGUAACUGUGUAUGUAUUGACGGUAACUGUAUAAGAAGCCCCGGCUAACUCCGUGCCAGCAGCCGCGGUACUACGGAGGGGGCGAGCGUUGUUCGGAGUGACUGGGCGUAAAGUGCACGUAGGCGGUUUUGUAAGUAAUUAGUCAAAGACUAGAGCUCAACUUUAGUAAGGCUAGUGAUACUAUAAUACUAGAGUAUCAGAGAGGAAUGCAGAAUUUCUAGUGUAGCGGUGAAAUGCAUAGAUAUUACGCAGAACACCGAUUGCGAAGGC